rnacentral:rRNA from 1 species
UACAGAGGUCCCGAGCGUUGUUCGGAUUCACUGGGCGUAAAGGGUGCGUAGGUGGUGGGGUAAGUCUGAUGUGAAAUCUCCAGGCCCAACCCGGAAAUGGCAUUGGAAACUACCUUGCUGGAGGGUUGGAGGGGGGACUGGAAUACUUGGUGUAGCAGUGAAAUGCGUAGAUAUCAAGUGGAACACCAGUGGCGAAGGCGAGUCCCUGGACAACUCCUGACACUGAGGCACGAAAGCCAGGGGAGCAAACAGG